AUUGAUCUAAAUUAAGAGAGCGUUGGAUUUGGGUAUUUUUAUGUACCAACAAUAUUUUAUUUAGUUCCAAACUAAGAGAAAUUCCCUUGAUGUAUAUGUAUUGUCCAUGUUUUGUUUUAAUUAAGAUGCUACUAACACUAAACAUAGUUAAGUGCAAAUGAAACAAUUAAAACGAUGGUUUGACUGCAAGACAGGUUACAUGUGAUAAUAAAGUAAUUUAGAUUUGUCCAAUAAAGGAGUUGAUGUAUUAGAGUGUUUGAAGCUUUAGCAUAGUGAAAAAUUUGUACCUUUGUGCAAUCUACCACACAAACUAAUUUUUGGAAAUUGAAAUGCCUUCACAUCAACUUUGCAACUUGGCAUGGUAUACUCUCACCGUUAGAAAAAUAGUGAAAAUAUUCUCAUCAUUUGGAUUUUCUUGAUCGUAGAGUAGAAUGUUCAAAGAAGAUGAACGACUUCUGAUGUCAUUAUACCUCUAGCACAUGUGAAAUCCCUUUUAGCAACUUUAGUCAUUGAAAUUUCAUUUCAAUGAAAAAAAACAAUAACUCAAUGAAACCAUCAAUAUUUAAUCACCAUUACACACAAAUUUAUGCUUAAAAAGUAAGUAUUCAAAUUUAUGCUACAUUGUAUAAAGAGUUCUGAUAUAAGCAAUUAUACAAAUAACAUCAUAUUAUUUUAUCAACAAUUAGUUUGUAGAUCUCUUAUUUUUAGAUCUUCA
rnacentral:lncRNA from 1 species